CAGCAGCCGCGGUAAUACGAAGGGUGCAAGCGCUACUCGGAAUUACUGGGCGUAAAGCGUGCGUAGGUGGUGGUUUAAGUCCGUUGUGAAAGCCCUGGGCUCAACCUGGGAAUUGCAGUGGAUACUGGGUCACUAGAGUGUGGUAGAGGAUAGUGGAAUUUCCGGUGUAGCAGUGAAAUGCGUAGAGAUCGGAAGGAACAUCUGUGGCGAAAGCACUCUGCUGGGCCGACACUGACACUGAGAGACGAAAGCUAGGGGAGCAAAUGGGAUUAGAUACCCGCGUAGUCCCUGUCUCUUAUAC
rnacentral:rRNA from 1 species